rnacentral:rRNA from 1 species
UGGGCGUAAGGAUGCGUAGGCGGAUAUUUAAGUGAGAUGUGAAAUACCCGGGCUUAACUUGGGUGCUGCAUUUCAAACUGGAUAUCUAGAGUGCGGGAGAGGAGAAUGGAAUUCCUAGUGUAGCGGUGAAAUGCGUAGAGAUUAGGAAGAACACCAGUGGCGAAGGCGAUUCUCUGGACCGUAACUGACGCUGAGGCAUGAAAGCGUGGGUAGCAAACAGGAUUAGAUACCCUGGUAGUCCACGCCGUAAACGAUGAGUACUAGGUGUAGGAGGUAUCGACCCCUUCUGUGCCGCAGUUAACACAAUAAGUACUCCGCCUGGGAAGUACGAUCGCAAGAUUAAAACUCAAAGGAAUUGACGGGGGCCCGCACAAGCAGCGGAGCAUGUGGUUUAAUUCGAAGCAACGCGAAGAACCUUACCUGGACUUGACAUCCCCUGAAUAGCCUAGAGAUAGGUGAAGCCCUUCGGGGCAGGGAGACAGGUGGUGCAUGGUUGUCGUCAGCUCGUGUCGUGAGAUGUUAGGUUAAGUCCUGCAACGAGCGCAACCCCUAUCAUUAGUUGCUACCAUUAAGUUGAGCACUCUAGUGAGACUGCCCGGGUUAACCGGGAGGAAGGUGGGGAUGACGUCAAAUCAUCAUGCCCCUUAUGUCCAGGGCUACACACGUGCUACAAUGGUGGGUACAAAGAGAUGCAAGACCGCGAGGUGGAGCAAAAUCAAAAACCCAUCCCAGUUCGGAUUGUAGGCUGCAACUCGCCUACNUGAAGCCGGAGUUGCUAGUAUCGCGAAUCAGAAUGUCGCGUNGAAUACGUUCCCGGGCCUUGUACACACCGCCCGUCACACCAUGAGAGCUGGCUACACCCCGAAGUUCGUGAGGUAACCUGUAAAGGAGCCUGCGGCCGAAUGNGGGUUAGNGAUUGG